GGGCCCUUCAAAAUCCCCAACCUUCCAGUCUGCAGCCUCAGUGCCUGGCUCUCCCUGGUUCCUGGAGCUUCUCCUGGCAAGCCGUGGGCUGUCCCUUACCUCCAGCUUCUACUCUUCCGUCCCUCACUACUUCAGGUUUACUCUCUGUGCUAUGACUUUGGUCCCCACCUCUGAGAACUUCUCGGGGACUUGUUUCAAUGAACCUGGAGGCCCUUCACCUCUUCAUUGGCUUUAGAGACCAGCAAGGCCUUCUACCCCACCCCAGAAUUCCCCAGCUCUCCAUAGGUUGCCUCCAGUGAGUGGCCUCGUGGCUCUCCCAGCCAUCGCUCCAUUCCCUGGAUUCCCAAGGGGUUUCAGGACAGAUCCCACUGAAGCUGUGACGCUCUGGCCAAGCAUUUGCUCCUUUCUGGGCCUCAGCAUUCUCCUGUGGAAAUUGGAGGGGGUGGGAUGACAAGACCUCAAACGCCCCUCCCAGCUCUGACAUUCCAGUCUGUAAGUUACACGAACAUGAAUUUUAGAAGCCAAAUCUUAUAGCCAUGAGGGCUCUCCAAUGGUCAGUUUGUCUAUCCCCCUGCAGCAGGCUGAGCAGGUGGCAGUGCACAUAUGUGGGAGUGGGGUGGGCAGGAAUUACUCCUGGCCUUCAGGGUGGGGCAGAACAAGAGAGUCCUUUGCUAAGGACUUGCAUUUCAGGCUACCUCCUAGCACUGGCCUCAGUUUCUCCUACUCUUUCCCCUUCUUCACCUAGCCUUCCACAGGCCUGGACAGAUGAAUUAAUGGGUAGAGGAGAGAGGAGGGGAAGAGAUUCAUUUUAGUUCCCCUUUCCCCCACCCCCAUCAAACCAUGUUUAGCAAUCUGGAGAAGAAACUAUCUCCCUCGGUCGUCACACGAUGUCUUGGUGCCCUUCCUCUGUUCCUCUCUGUCACCAUCUCUCCCCUCCCUCCUUGGACUUCGAGGUUUCCCCUUCCUACCUCCCAGGGUGGCUGUGAAGAUCCAACCAGAUCCCCGAAGGGGGCAGCGCUUUGGAAAAUUAUCCGCAGGCUUGCAGGGUGUGAGAGCUGGGCAGGACCUUAGACCCAAUUGUUUAUGCUGGAAAGACUCCCUCGGCCCUUGAGAAUGCAGUCUGGCAGGGGCAGGGGAAGGAGCAGAAGCGCUUUCUUCUUACCGGGGUAAGGGUGGAGGGUAAGUGGUGCUUAGAAGGGUGCUAUCUCACAAGGUGGGGGCAUAACCACACAGUCCUCUUUCUACUGUACAGAGGGGUCCAUUGAGGCAUGGAGCGGAGGAUUCAAGGCCCAAGACCCAAGAAAGCUGCCCCCUCAUCUGCAAUGCAAGGUUGUACUUGGGCUAGAACACGCUCCCUUUCUCUCUCUCUUCCUCUCUCUCUCUCUCUCUCUCUCUCUCUCUCUCUCUCUCUCUCUCUCUCUCUCUCUCUCUCUCUCUUUCUCUCUCUCUCCCCCCAUUCCAGCUGUGUCUUUACCCCAGGCUCAAAAUCUCAUUCUACCACCAGUGUGUCCAUUUUCCUCACUGGGGCCUCAGUUUCCUCCUCUGUAAAAUGAGGGGGUUAGACUAGAGAGCUUCUGGGGUCCAUUUCACUCUAUGAUCCUUUGUUCUCUCUCUCCUCCUCUCCAUCUCAUUCUCUUUUUCUUCUUUUCUGUCUCUCUGUUCCUGUCUGUGCCUGAGCCUGCCUCAGUUUUUCUGUGUUUGUGCAUCUGUCUGUCGGUCUACGUCUGUCUGCCUGUCUGUCUGUCUGUCCGUCUCUCUUUCUCCUCUAGGGCUGCCCCGUGCCUCCAGCUCCCCGGCCUCUCCUCUGACCACAGGCCCGCAGUGCCACACUCCGUGUAUUUGACAAGCUGAGUCGGACACUCCGUGUGGUAGAGUGUCAGUUUGUCAAAUACCCCAAGUGAGACAUUUGCCUAGCAACCCUGGACUGGGGCAGAGUGGCUGACCGAUGGACUGUCCCUGCCAGCUUUGGAUUUCCAGACCCAGACCUCCGGAGAACAGAUGCCAAGUGGAUCAAGGGGACAGCUGUGGGUGGUGCUUUCAGCUUGACCCAGGGUAUUUGGGAAAUGGCUGGAGUAAGCUCCUCAGAGACUGUAAGAGCAGGGGGAGUCAGGAAAGCUAAGCUUGAGCCCCAAUUCUGCUACUCCCUAGCUGCAUGACCCUGGGUAAGUCCCUUGCACCCUCAGUUGAAGCAUCUAGUGAUUAGGUUCUGGUGAGGAACCGAUGAGACAAUUUAUGUAAAGUGCUUUGUAAUUUGUAGAGCACUAGAUACAAAUUUGCUGUUAAUAAUUCAAGGCUUCUAAGGAGCUAGAGGCCUCUUUGGACAUUGGUUAGGUCACAGAGCUUUGUGGCCCAGAUAUAGACUACCCAGAGGGACAUAGGGCAUAUACCUUGUCCCAAGAGGGAGGAAAGAGGGAGGGCCCAAGCCCCAGGAACACUCUGUCUCAUGACCUGGCUUUGUGGGGCUGGGCCCUUUGUAAAGGUUGUGCAAUCCCAAUGGUGCCCCACAUUGGGGUGGGAGGGGGGAGAUGGAUUUGGAGUUAACCCAAGUCCAGUCCUUGGUUCUACAUCUGUGUUACCUUGCUAGAGUCAUUUCUCCUUAAGGUACAACUUCUCCAGUUGUCAAAUGGAAACAACAAUCCCUACCUCACCUACUUCUGAAGGCAAGAUUAAAGUAUGUAAACUAGAAGUUUACUAGAAGAAGCAGGAGUUAACAUUGUUCUUAUCAUUCCUACUCAUUCUUUGUUAGAAUGGAAGCUCCCUGAGGGCAGAGACUGUUUUGCUUUUGUUACUGUACCUGGAAUAUAGUAGGCACUUAAUAAAUGUUUGUUGCUAGAUUAUUUCAUUAAUGUGUCCUUAGGACGCCAGAGAGCUGUUGGUAUUGUAUAUGGGCCCAGUUACUCUUCCUAAAUCCCCUGUUGCUAUUGAGGGCAUUGUCAUCUAAGUUCACAACCACAGUGUCAUCCUAGACUUCUGACUUGCCUUCACCCUCUAUAUCCAUUCAUUUGCCAAGGGUUUUCCACCAUCCCUUACUUGGGCCCUACCCAUCAUCCCUCACUUGAACCCUACCCAUCAUCCCUCACUCGGGUACCACCCAUCACCCCUCAUUCAAGCCUACCCAUCAUCCCUCAUUUGGGCCCUACCCAUCAUCCUUCACUUGGGCCCUACCCAUCAUCCCUCAUGGGCCCUACCUAUCAUCCCUCAUUUGGGUCCUACUCAUUCCUCAUGUGGACUCUACUCAUCAUUCCUCACUUGGGCCCUACCCAUCAUUCCUCACUUGGGCCCUAUCCCUCAUGGGCCAUACCUAUCACUUCACUUGGGCCCUACCCAUCAUCCUUCACUUGGGCUCUACCCAUCAUCCCUCACAUGGACUCUACUCAUCAUCCCUCACUUGGGCCCUACCUAUCACCUCACUUGGGCCAUA